AACAUAAAGGGGCAGACUGAAGCUGAUAACCCAAUUGCUACAUUACAAGUAAACAUGAGUAAACUCAAGAGACUCAACAAGCCUUUUAUUUCAGGAAGCAACCAAGGUGUAUUGACUGCCCAACCCAUGAAAAAUGAAAAAGAAAAUGUUCUCCCACGGAAAGAAGGUUUUUGUUUUGUUUUGUUUUGUUUUGUUUUGUUUUGUUUUGUUUGUGGAAUAAAGGUUGAAGCCAAAGAGAUUGGUACUC
ensembl:processed_transcript 5530601H04Rik RIKEN cDNA 5530601H04 gene